UACGGAGGGUGCAAGCGUUGAUCGGAUUUACUGGGCGUAAAGGGAGCGUAGGCGGCUCGAUAAGUCAGCUGUGAAAUUUCUGGGCUCAACCCAGAAGCUGCGGUUGAAACUGUCGAGCUAGAGGGUAGUAAGGGAAAGCGGAAUACCAUGUGUAGCGGUGAAAUGCGUAGAUAUAUGGUAGAACACCGGUGGCGAAGGCGGCUUUCUGUGCUAUACCUGACGCUGAGGCUCGAAAGGGUGGGGAUCAAACAGG
rnacentral:rRNA from 1 species